CAGCAGCCGCGGUAAUACAGAGGGUGCGAGCGUUAAUCGGAUUUACUGGGCGUAAAGCGUGCGUAGGCGGCUAAUUGAGUCGGAUGUGAAAUCCCCGAGCUUAACUUGGGAAUUGCAUUCGAUACUGGUUAGCUAGAGUGUGGGAGAGGAUGGUAGAAUUCCAGGUGUAGCGGUGAAAUGCGUAGAGAUCUGGAGGAAUACCGAUGGCGAAGGCAGCCAUCUGGCCUAACACUGACGCUGAGGUACGAAAGCAUGGGGAGCAAACAGGAUUAGAUACCCCGUAGUCCCUGUCUCUUAUACA
rnacentral:rRNA from 1 species